GAUGAAGAACGUAGCGAAAUGCGAUAAGUAAUGUGAAUUGCAGAAUUCAGUGAAUCAUCGAGUCUUUGAACGCACAUUGCGCCCCCUGGUAUUCCGGGGGGCAUGCCUGUCCGAGCGUCAUUGCCGCCCUCAAGCACGGCUUGUGUGUUGGGCCCCCGCCCCCCGGCUUCGGGGGGCGGGCCCGAAAGGCAGCGGCGGCACCGCGUCCGGUCCUCGAGCGUGUGGGGCUUCGUCACCCGCUCUGUAGGCCCGGCCGGCGCCCGCCGGCGACCCCAAUCAAUCUUUCCAGGUUGACCUCGGAUCAGGUAGGGAUACCCGCUGAACUUAAGCAUAUCAAUAAGCGGAGGA
rnacentral:misc_RNA from 1 species